rnacentral:rRNA from 1 species
GAUGAACGCUGGCGGCGUGCCUAAUACAUGCAAGUCGAGCGAACAGAUGAGGAGCUUGCUCCUCUGACGUUAGCGGCGGACGGGUGAGUAACACGUGGAUAACCUACCUAUAAGACUGGGAUAACUUCGGGAAACCGGAGCUAAUACCGGAUAAUAUAUUGAACCGCAUGGUUCAAUAGUGAAAGACGGUUUUGCUGUCACUUAUAGAUGGAUCCGCGCCGCAUUAGCUAGUUGGUAAGGUAACGGCUUGCCAAGGCGACGAUGCGUAGCCGACCUGAGAGGGUGAUCGGCCACACUGGAACUGAGACACGGUCCAGACUCCUACGGGAGGCAGCAGUAGGGAAUCUUCCGCAAUGGGCGAAAGCCUGACGGAGCAACGCCGCGUGAGUGAUGAAGGUCUUCGGAUCGUAAAACUCUGUUAUUAGGGAAGAACAAAUGUGUAAGUAACUAUGCACGUCUUGACGGUACCUAAUCAGAAAGCCACGGCUAACUACGUG